rnacentral:rRNA from 1 species
AUUGAACGCUGGCGGCAGGCCUAACACAUGCAAGUCGAACGAGUGGCGGACGUGUGAGUAAUGUCUGGGAAACUGCCUGAUGGAGGGGGAUAACUACUGGAAACGGUAGCUAAUACCGCAUACCAUCGGAUGUGCCCAGAUGGGAUUAGCUAGUAGGUGGGGUAAAGGCUCACCUAGGCGACGAUCCCUAGCUGGUCUGAGAGGAUGACCGGCCACACGGGAACUGAGACACGGUCCAAACUCCUACGGAGGGAAGCAGUGGGGAAUAUUGGACAAUGGGCGCAGGCCUGAUGCAGCAAUGCCGCGUGUAUGAGGAAGGCCUUCGGGUUGUAAAGUACUUUCAGCGGGGAGGCGUUAACCGCAGAAGAAGCACCGGCUAACUCCGUGCCAGCAGCCGCGGUAAUAC